rnacentral:tRNA from 4 species
GCCCGACUAGUUCAAAGGACAGAACGCCAGGCUACGAACUUGGUGAUGGGGGUUCGAGUCCCUCGUUGGGUAC